rnacentral:rRNA from 1 species
GAUGAACGCUAGCGGCAGGCUUAAUACAUGCAAGUCGUGGGCAGCGCAGUGUAGCAAUACAUGGCGGCGACCGGCAAACGGGUGCGGAACACGUACACAACCUUCCUACAAGUGGGGAAUAGCCCAGAGAAAUUUGGAUUAAUACCCCGUAACAUAUAAAGAUGGCAUCAUUUUUAUAUUAUAGCUACGGCGCUUGUUGAUGGGUGUGCGGCUGAUUAGGUAGUUGGCGGGGUAAUGGCCCACCAAGCCUGCGAUCAGUAGCUGAUGUGAGAGCAUGAUCAGCCACACGGGCACUGAGACACGGGCCCGAUCCUACGGGAGGCAGCAGUAAGGAAUAUUGGACAAUGGGCGCAAGCCUGAUCCAGCCAUGCCGCGUGAAGGAUUAAGGGUCCUCUGGAUUGUAAACUUCUUUUAUAAGGGACGAAAAAGGGAAUUCUUUCUCACUUGACGGUACCUUAUGAAUAGCACCGGCUAGCUCCGUGCCAGCAG